rnacentral:rRNA from 1 species
UACGUAGGGCGCAAGCGUUGUCCGGAAUUAUUGGGCGUAAAGAGCUCGUAGGCGGCUUGUCACGUCGAUUGUGAAAGCCCGAGGCUUAACCUCGGGUCUGCAGUCGAUACGGGCUAGCUAGAGUGUGGUAGGGGAGAUCGGAAUUCCUGGUGUAGCGGUGAAAUGCGUAGAUAUCUGGAGGAACACCGGUGGCGAAGGCGGCAUCCUGGACCAAUACUGACGCUGAGUGAGCGAAAGCCAGGGGAGCAAACGGG